GUUGCUUCCUAAUGGUGAACUCCCUGUAAAUCAAAGAUGAGGGAUGUUUCAAGUUUCCGAAGCAUAGAUCAAACGAGUUCUCAAUCAGUGUUAAACAGCGCCAGCGUGUUGUUUCGUGUUGCGCUGGGUGCUACCUGUCUGCUGAUACAUAU